UACGUAGGUGGCAAGCGUUAUCCGGAAUUAUUGGGCGUAAAGAGGGAGCAGGCGGCAGCAAAGGUCUGUGGUGAAAGACUGAAGCUUAACUUCAGUAAGCCAUAGAAACCGGGCAGCUAGAGUGCAGGAGAGGAUCGUGGAAUUCCAUGUGUAGCGGUGAAAUGCGUAGAUAUAUGGAGGAACACCGGUGGCGAAAGCGGCUCUCUGGCCUGUAACUGACACUGAGGCUCGAAAGCGCGGGGAGCAAACAGG
rnacentral:rRNA from 1 species